AUUGAACGCUGGCGGAAUGCUUUACACAUGCAAGUCGAACGGUAGAGGGGGCAACCCCCUUGAGAGUGGCGAACGGGUGAGUAAUAUAUCGGAACGUGCCCAGUCGUGGGGAUAACGUAGCGAAAGUUACGCUAAUACCGCAUACGAUCUAAGGAUGAAAGCGGGGGAUCGCAAGACCUUGCGCGAUUGGAGCGGCCGAUAUCAGAUUAGGUAGUUGGUGAGGUAAAGGCUCACCAAGCCAACGAUCUGUAGCUGGUCUGAGAGGACGACCAGCCACACUGGAACUGAGACACGGUCCAGACUCCUACGGGAGGCAGCAGUGGGGAAUUUUGGACAAUGGACGCAAGUCUGAUCCAGCCAUUCCGCGUGCAGGAUGAAGGCCCUCGGGUUGUAAACUGCUUUUGUACGGAACGAAAAGGUUCUAUUAAUACUAGGAGCUCAUGACGGUACCGUAAGAAUAAGCACCGGCUAACUACGUGCCAGCAG
rnacentral:rRNA from 1 species